rnacentral:rRNA from 1 species
AUUGAACGCUGGCGGCAUGCCUUACACAUGCAAGUCGAACGGCAGCGCGGGAGCAAUCCUGGCGGCGAGUGGCGAACGGGUGAGUAAUACAUCGGAACGUGCCCAAUCGUGGGGGAUAACGCAGCGAAAGCUGUGCUAAUACCGCAUACGAUCUACGGAUGAAAGCAGGGGAUCGCAAGACCUUGCGCGCAUUGAGCGGCCGAUGGCAGAUUAGGUAGUUGGUGAGGUAAAGGCUCACCAAGCCUUCGAUCUGUAGCUGGUCUGAGAGGACGACCAGCCACACUGGGACUGAGACACGGCCCAGACUCCUACGGGAGGCAGCAGUGGGGAAGUUUGGACAAUGGGCGAAAGCCUGAUCCAGCCAUGCAGCGUGCAGGAUGAAGGCCUUCGGGUUGUAAGCUGCUUUUGUACGGAACGAAACGGUCUUUUCUAAUAAAGAAGGCUACUGACGGUACCGUAAGAAUAAGCACCGGCUAGCUACGUG